AAGGGAACUUGGCUGACAACAAAGUCUGGAUCUGAGACAACAAAACCCAAAAGGGUAUAAUUUCUCUGCCAAAUUUACCUUCAGUGCAUAAGAGAGUAAUCCCUGCUGCACUGAUCUCUCCUCAGCCUUUUUUACCCUGUUACUGCAAGAAUCUACUUACUACUGUAAGAAGACAUUAAAUUAUGAUGGGACAAACUAUGGGUUAAGGGGGGUAGUUGUCAUUGUGUAACAGCUCAAGCUGCUUUACACAGCUCUAAAACAUAGAUACAAAUAUUCUAUGUGAGCUAUUACUGUCAUUACCUGAAAACUCACAUUUGAGCACUCUGGCUAACUGAAAAAGUGUGUCUUUUUCAUCCUCCUUUGUGGCCACAAAAGUAAAGAAAAUCACUGCAUCUUUAUCUUUUGUCUGAUAACUCAAUUCCCAUUCUGCUGGCAUGAGCCAAGUGAUCACAACUUUGCUAACAUGGAGUAAAAGUGAUUUGGAAAACUCUCUGUAAACAAGUUAUCCUGUGUAUACUAGAAAAUCCGGGGAGCUUGUGUACACAACUCUGUGAGAGCUAAGCCACAGAAUGGUGACCAAAUGAAAGAACUAAAGCAAAAAGUAAACACAGGAUUAAAUGGAAAUCUUUUCAUAUUAAAACAGGAUACAGUGUAAGGAGAUGAAUUAUUGAAGUAAUCCUGAUAUUGCAGACACUGCACUGAUACAGUUUGUAAUGUGAAUUCUCAUCUCAAGAGUUUUAAAGACUGCUGGAUGUUUGGGGCUCUCAGUAGUUUCUGCUUAGUUGUAAAACAAACUAUGAAAGACAGGUGCUGCCUACCUCUGUGCUCUGUUCCAGUUUGGAGCACACAUACUGAACUUCAUUUCCCUCUGAAUCCUGGUAAUUUUCUGUCAGCAGAGGAUGACCCUUAUUUGUGAUAAAACAUAAAGAAUGUCAACUGGAGGAGGAAAAAUCCAGUGAGAUUAUGCACAGUAUGUAUGCAGGACUGGAAAGAGAACUCCGUCCCUCUGUUGUGACCAGGGGUGGCCCUUGACAGUGGAAGCAAUUAGCAAAAUCACCAAGGACAUUUCAUUAGCUCGUUUUUUAGAUAGAAUUUCCUCCACUUCUGCCAGAAUUCUUUAUAGUACAUUAUAAAGAGAGGAGUGAAAAUUUCCUUUCUGCCAAACCUGUCCUGGAGAUGUAACCACAAUGAAAUUGGGAGAUGAAGGCACUUCUUGGUGAGAGGGGUGUGUGUUUUUACACUUCAUUUAGCAAGGACAGAAUUCUGUCUGUACAACACAGUGAGAGUGAAUAACUCACUGCAGGAAGCAUACAGUUCACAUUUUUGUCUAAGGCAAGAUCAUAAUAUUUAAUGCUAGGUUAAUAAAUAGAUCUUUUAGAUCUUUCCUAAAUCCUUGAAUAUAACAGGAGCAAUUAGCAUCAUUGUACCAUUUGUAUGUUCAAAACCCACACUUGCUUUCUUGACAGUCAUGCUCCCUCUACCUUUUUUUUUUUUUUUUUUUUGCCAAGAAGGAAAAAAUAAAGCUUCCUUGGAUUCCUUGUAGCUCCAGGUGUGCUGCCCUUUUCUGCUGCAGCCCAUGGCUGGGGUCACAUCCUCCUGUCACAGACAGUCAUGCACAACUCCACCAGUGUGUGUCCAGGAGUGAUCAAGGAUGUCUCCUCUGUCCUCUCGGGUUUUUCUCCAUCACAACUUCCCUUACAAUUCAAUGCAUAUUUAAUUUUGCUAUGAUUUAUUCCUACUUAGUGUGGUAAGCACACCCAUUAACUCCAAAGAUUUCUGUGAUUGCCUAUAGAUCAUGAACACACUUUCAGGAUGCUGUCAAAAUAUUUCAGCAUCAGGCUGUCAUUGCAGAGAGGAAGGCUGACAUUUUUAGCUCAUGUUUCUCCCUUUUUUGUCUGUGCCCCUUGUGAAAGGAUUCUUACUGUCAAAUUUCCUUUUUGCAGGGCAUGUUUCCAAUACUGUAUAAAGUAUUGGAAGUUUCCAAUACUGCUUAAGGUUGUGACCUGUGGUGCAAUGUUGAACUGGGGGCCAGUCACCAGUGGCAUGCUCUAGGGCUGGAGAAAUCAGCAAAGAGGAAUGUGACGAAGUUCAAGAAAAGGAAGUGUGAGUCCUCCACCUGGAGAAGAAAAAUCGUGUUCACCAAAGUGGGGGUGACUGGAUGGAAAGUAGAUUUGCAGAGAAGGACCUGUGGGUCCUGGUGAACAAUAAGGUGGACAUGAUCUAGCAAUGUGCCCUUGCACUGGAAUAUCUUGGACUGCGUGAAAUGUUGCCAGCAGGUUGAGGGGGGCGAUCCUUCCCCUUCAAUCCACACUGAUGAGACACACCUGGAGAGCUCUGUCCAGUUCUGUCAGUUCUCCCCAGAACGAGAGAAGCAUGGAUAUAGUGGAGACAUCCAGUGAAAGGCCACUGAGGUGCUUAAGGAAUGACAGCAUGUCUCCUAGGAGUAAAGUCUGGGAGAGCUGGGACUGCUCAGCCUGGAGAACAGCGGGCUCUGGGGAAAUCUCACUGAGGCACAACUCACCUGAUGAGGGGAGUAAGAAGGAGACAGGCUCUUCUCAGUAGUGCUCAGUAGAAGGACAAGAAAAAACAGCCAUGCAUUGUUUAUAUCUAAACAUUAGUAAAAACAUUUUUGUGAUGAGGGUGGUCAAGCAAUGGAAGAGAUUGGUUAUGAAAUCUUGGUUCUUGGAGGUAUGCAGAAGCCAACAGGACACAGCCCUGAGCAAACUGCUCCAGCUGACCCUGAUUUGAGCAGAGAGCUUGAUCUCCAGAUGUCCCUUCUCAUUUCAGUUCUUUUUAGUCUCCUCCUACAUUAUCUGUCAUGAGGCUUGUACUGCCUACCAGGGUCUCCAGCUAAUUUCCAGUUUUCCUCUUCACCCUCCCAGCCACAGCUGCCAUUGAGCACAGCUCCAGUGUACUCUGUAGUGCAGCACUGUCCAGCAUCGCAGUCACAAAGAGAUGCAUGACACUGCUAGCAGCCCAUCAAACACUGAGGCAGAUCAUAAAGUGGUGUCAUAUUUUAACAUCUAUUUUAAUAGGAUUAUGGAGGAAGGAGUUUGUAAGUAAGAAAUUUACAGAUAAAAGGAAGUAGUUUUAGUAAAACAAUCUACUAAUUUUGGAAGACAAUAUCCUGAAAAAUCUUUAAUAUCUAAGUUCCUUCUUUUUCCCAUUUUUUCAGGCUCACCAUCCUUAUAAAAGGACAGUGUCCUCUAAAAAAAAACAAUGUGGUUGGUUAUUAUUCACUAGUCUCCAGAGUUUCCAUUCUUUUUAGCAAAUGCAUGCCUUCCAAGCAAAUUAUUUCCUGAAUUGUAGUUAUUCACUGAAACAACUUCAGCACAUUCAGAACAACUCAGCUUCAAGAUCCUAAUAGAGAAUUGAGAGCUGUAGAAAACCAUGGAUUUGGACACACUACUACAAUCCCCAGCAGUAUGGAGGAUCUAGAUUUUGCUAAAGUUCCCGCAACCCAUAAAUUUACUUUCCUGGUUGGCUAAAGGACAAGAUCCAUGUAAGCUAUUAGACGGUAACUAAAUACUUUGGGUUUUUUUUUUUCCCUCACAGAAAUGGCAAUUGGCUAACCACUGUAUAGGAUUCUCCUCAUGCAGAUUCAUCCUUACAUGUCUGCAGCUCAAAUAAACUGUCUGGUCAUGCUUCAGUGGAAGUUUCUGUUCCCUUAGGUGGAGAGAAGAGCAGCAGAUGUUGGUGAUUUUUUUCCUUGAAAAGCAAGUUGGGCCUUGCAAAGCAAGAUCAACAAUUUUGUUUUUAACUGAAGUCCACAAAUAUCGCAGGAUUCUGGGAAACUCCAGAAUUUCUCAACCAGUGCGAAAAUACCUUUAUUUUAAGUAUAUUAUAGAUUGAAUGACAUGGAGCUCUGUCUCAAAAAGAUAACAUGAUUAAUGGGAAUGUCUGAUCCUUUCUCCUUGAAGUUAUUAACAAAGCAAAUUGUGGAUGACUAAUCUCUAACACAUGCCAGUAUUUGAAGAGUUAAUUAACAAACUUGGUGCAAGGAAGAAAGGUACAGGGAUUUAAUACCACUCAGGGGCAUUAACAAAGAAAAUAAAACAAUUCUGCCUGUGUAGGGAGACUGUAUGGAACACAGGCACAGCACAUAUGGAUUCUUACCCAAACUCCUACCAAAAAUCACAUUCCAUACACAUGCAGGUAAUUUUUCAGGAAAUUACAGUGCUGUGCUUAUAUAUUUAUGUAUUUUUGUCUUCUAAGGUUUCCAUUUUGUUUCAACAUAACUUUUUUCUGUAAUUAUCUAAACUGUCCUGGUGUUUAUAAUAAGAAGUUCGAUGGAGUGUGAGGACAAAUUGGUCAGGUAAUCUUCAUUUUAUACUUUUUAAGUCCUGCCCUAUCUCAGUCUCAAUCUUAUAAAUUUUUGCCUUAUCCCUUCAGCCUUCUCUUUGAUAUAUAUGCACUUCUCUCCUGCCCCUACCAUCAUCUUAAUUUUCACCUCAGGAUUACUGUGAUUAUCCACUGGUCAGAGAAUACCCACUUUAAAUCUCAACAUAUCCAUAGCAGGGCUUUUUGAUGUUUCAAAGCUGAUGAUUCUUUUUUCCUUUCAAAAUAUGAACUACACCAGACUAUUUUUGAAGAAUUAUUAUUUCUAAAAAUGUGUGUCUUUUUUAAUAUUUUUUUUUUAAUUUUUGAAAUUAAGGAAAAUAGCUGAUUGACUGGUAAUUAAAACCAGAACCACAGGAUUUUCAUUAAAAUACCUUAAUACCUUAAAUUAUUUCAAAAAUGUUUUAUAAGUACCUUCAAAACUUGAUAGAUGCUCACAUUAAAAAAUAAAAAGUACUUAAAUAUAUAAAUUAAAAAUCUUAAUACAUCUCAACCAAUUAUAAUCAAUCCUCCAUAUGUGAAAUGGGCAAAGCUCCUCCUAACUACUUUCAAUGUUUUAAACAAGAAAUUAAAAUUACAUUAGAAAAAAACAAAUUUUCUCUGUUAGAAGACUGUUCUAAAAAAGUAUUCUAGAAAGGGACACAAGCAACUGAACUGACAAAAGUGCAAGACAAUCACAGUGAGUGGUUAAUAUGUAGUAACUGAAAGGGGGGAAAAAAGAGAUACAAAUGCCCUUUUGUAAUCUCUUAGUUUUCACUUACUUUGUUUCAAAUAUGUUAUUGCAGUCAUGCCACCUGGUAAAUUGUGUAAUUGGGAACCAAUUUUUCUUCCAGUAUGACAGAAGCUGACAUGUGGAAACUACUUUCCUUCCUGACUUUGAAGAGGAUGGAAUGGAAAGAAGCCUCAUUUUAAAUAACCUUUUCUUUUGAAAGAUUUAAUUGAAUCUUUACUUAAAUUCAUACUUUUAGUUAUUCUAUCAGUUACACUGUCCUGGUAAAUUGAAAAUUCAUGGGCUACUUUUAGAGAAUAAUGGAUUCACAGUUUGAGUUGCUUUGAGUUAGAAUGGAAAUGAAAGAUUAUCUAAUUCCACUCCCUUCUGCCCUUCCACUUGGCCAGGUUGCUUAAAGACCCCUUUGGCCUGGCCUUGAUCCUGCUAAAAUGUUCGUGUUUGCGUAUAGCAAAACUUAUUUUUGUCCCUUGACUAUUCAUUUCUCCAUGCUCUAUGUCAUCUAUUUCACCCUUGAAUAUACUCUUUGUGAAUGACCUCCCAUGUCUGAUUUGAAGAGUAUCUGCCACUCUUCCUAUUCACAAAAUUCUCAAAUUAUGGAAAUGUAAAACAUUUAGAUAACAGCUCUUAUGUUUUGAGUAGGCAGUCUAGGGAAUAAAAGACAAACAAUUGAGUCAAUUAAUUCUAUUAAGCUCAAGAAAAUUAGCAUUUCUUUAAAUAGUCUUCUUGGAAAGUUUAAGAUUCAUUUUCAAUAUCAUAGUCAUUUUAUUCAAGGAAAGAGUAAUGUUACUUCAGAACAUUACCUGUUUUAUAAACAUUAUCAUAUAAAUUAAAUAUGUGUUUCUAUGGAGAACACAUCUGACCAUAACAUGGAAUUUAAACAGAUUCCAGUAGUACUGCUACCAAAAUAAUUCACUCCAGCAAUGGGAGGAAAUGAGUCAUAAUCAAAGAGGGAACUGCAAGUAAAAAUUCUUCAGAUCCUGUUACUGGUGCUGAUAUUCUGUGUCCUUCUGGAAAUUCACUGAACUGGUUUUAUUAAUGAUAAAGCAGAGAUUAUGAGACUUUCUUCACAGGGGAGUUGUACGGAUGCUUAUGAAGUGCUCUGUAUCUCCAGGAAGAAAGUCGCUGCACAAGUACAAAGUAUGAACAAUUUCUUAUCAUUUCUGCUAUAAACAACUGAUCUACUUGCUUAUUUCUAUAGGGUAGAUGAUUACUCAUUCCUCAUUUUAGGAUAUAAAGUAUCUGCUCUGUUAAACAACAGUAAAAUUUAAAUGUUAGAGACAUUUUGAAGAGUAUCAAUAUGGAAAAGGGUGGGGGAGGGGGCAGGGAGGGGACUGCCCCUGCCAUCAAAGUAUAUCCUUUGCACAUUCCUGGCACUACAUCAAGGUUAAGUUAAAAGCAGCACUUGAAGGCAGUUGCAUGUGGUAGAUUGUACAACAAGGCUCAUUAGCCAAUGGUGAGUCUUAUGUAAAGGUCUUUAAUGUGGUACAAUGGCAUUUUUCAGCCUCUUUUAAAAGGGAAAAAGUUAAUAAUGUGAAAGUUUUAUUACUUUUAUUCUUUUAAAGAAGUGCCUUUUUGUAGGGAAACAUUGAGGCUAGUUAGAGCAAGAGCUCAGGGAAUUUCCUUCACUCUGGGAAGAACUGCAAUUAUAUAAGGGGAAGGGACCACAGCAGUAAACUGGCAACAUACCAAGGUCUUAACCCCUGAGACAGGAGGUGGAGGAAUAGGUGUUAGCAGUCUUACACAAGUCCUUAAAGCAUAAACAUAUGGUAAAUCCAUUACCUAAACUACAAAGAAUGGAACCUUGCUAAUAAACCUAUUUACUAGGUUAAAUAAAUACAGAAAGUGUUUAAAAAAGGCGAGCUGUGUGACAUUUUAAAAUCAGACAUUUUUCACUUGUCAGGAUUUGUUGGGAAUCUGUGAAACAUGAUGGCCCUUCCAACCCCAUGAACACACACAGUCAUGUUCUGCCCAGUCGGCCCCAGCUCAGCGCUCCCUGCCACCACGUGAAACCAAGAGCAUUUAUUUCUGAGUUCCUGUGCCACUGUCUGCACAAACAGAAUUCAUCACCCAGCUGGCUGCUGGCACUUAUGAUGAACAAUAAAAUGUAGGCAGGAUUGAAAUGUAUUUACCACCUUGUUGUGUAGCCCUGUGCUCCAUGGCAUGUUUGAUUCUAUCCAGAAAAAACACUGGUCCAGAAGUAAUAAUACUGAGCAGGUAAAAAUUCAAAUUCAGUGUCUUUAGAAGUGGUAUGCUGCCAGCAGCUUUAGCAACAGCUCCAAAGAUCAUUUUUUCAUCACCCCUAGCACAAAUAUGUUAUUAGAUAGGUCACAAAGGGUACUAAAGCUAAGGAGAAUUGCGUUUUACAGUUACUUUACCAAAUAAUUGCCCUUCUUCCAGAUGUGGGAAGAGGAUAUCCAGGAACACAUUUUAAAGCUUCUCAUAGUGGCUUCAUGGAUUUGUAGUGAAGAGGUGGCAUUAAUCCAAAGCCAGCUGAAAUCAGUGGGCUGAUUCCUUGCCCAAUCCCCUCCCUCUGAAAAUAGGUGGUGUGGACACACAGCUGAGGUGGCCGUGUGGUGGCUUUACAAUCAGGUGUCUCUGGGAUGGGGAGGCUGCUCAGGGACACUUCUGCAGAAUUCAUGUGAAUUUGCACUCUCAUUUACCAGCCUGUGAAAGGUACUCCUUUUCUGCUGCUGCCAUAACAGAUUUUUGAUGAAAAAAAAGCACAAAAGCAACUCUGAAACUGGAUACAGAAUAAGGAAGAUCUGUGAAGGGUGAUCAGUGAACAUCAGAAGUUCUAAAUAUGCAGAUGGCAUAAAAGCUUCUAAAAUAAAAAGGCAAAAGUUCCACAGGACCUCUGUGAGGCAAACUGGGCAACAGCAAGAAGCCUAAAGCCACACAGACAGAAUUUGAGGAACUUAAGUGGGGUUUUGUAUGGAGCAAUCUGAGCCUACAAAAACAUGCAGACUGUGCCUGAACAAGAAGCCUGUAUUUAAGAUAUGGAAGACUACACUACUGGACCACCAACAAUUUAAAACAGAGAUUAAUCUUCAGUGUUUCAGUCAUCUGAAUGGAUUCUUUUAUUAUUCUUCUAACAGGAGUUCAUUAUCUCAGAAAAUCUGAAGUAUCUGGAAAAGAGCAAGAACUCCUUUAGAGCAACAUGGAGCAAUUGCAAGGGAAAACUUUCUCAGCACCUUCCUCACUAGUCCCAGUUGCAUACCUAUACACUCAAACUCUGUUAACAAGCUCAUAAUUGACUCAUAAUCUCAUUGCGAUAUGUCAGACUUAAGUGACAGUUUCUGGAAAGAACUGGUUGUUUGAAAAACUUUCUCCUGUGGAGUAAUUCAGAGCCAUUAGAUGAUGAUUUCAGUGGUUCCCUCACAGUUUGAACCCACUGUUUGAACAGAAGUCAUGGAAACCUUGAAACACUGAAAAACUCUUGAAACAGUCUGAACACUCUGAAAUGGGCUCUCCAGCUCCCAACAUGUCCUCUAAUGCAUCAUCAGACCCAGGAAGACACCUAAAUGUGGCAGCCAAUAAACAUCUGCAGUUACAUUCUUGUUUCCACUUUCCCUGUUUUUUGCCAUGUUCAGCAUUCGAGUGUCAUCUCUAAAAAACAACUUGCUGUGGCUCAGGGCCAUGAGAAGCAAUGAGGACCUUUACUACAAGCUCAUUACUACAUUUCAACAUCUUCAUGUAUUUUGUCCAGAUGGCAGCGCAGAAAUAGAUCCCACUGCACUUGAUUCAAUGUAAUCCUUAGAAAUCAUGGAGACAUGGAGUCCUGGGACAGCAGUGCUAUUAUUGUGCACUGACAGUGCUUGAGGGAAUACAAAGUACUGGGACAGAAGCACCCUAUACCUACACACAAUACUGACUUCUGUUCAUUGAAAGCCUGUCUUAAUUUUCUCAUUGAAGAUAUCUCAAAACCUCAAAUAA